ensembl:lncRNA
CCCCCCGCCCCCCUCACUCCAGACUCCCCCAUUACUCUCUCUUUCUCUCUCUCUGAGGUUUCUUCUCUUUAUUGGAUGGUGCGGAAGCAGAACCACAAACCAAUUUCAGUCACUCUCGCAAUGAGGCUUGACGGGCCCAAUUUGUCUCCCUCCGGGGCAAUAGGAUCCACUCCAGUGUCCCUAGAAAGACCCCUUUCUUUAGAGAAAGAGGGAGCUCUUUGUUCAGCGACUUCUGUACUCGAGCGCUCGUUUUCAUACCACUCAUUCUAAUCUCCGGCGCUGCGCUGCGAUUCGGGCCGCGGUGGCUUGUUGUGGAUCGUAAAGGCAAGCUGAGCCUCCUCGCGAGGCAUCUUUGUAACCAACAAUCACAUUUGGCAUCGAGUGCCUUUCAACGAGGCUUCAUAAAGGAUGGAUUUCAUAAAUCCAAAUAAACCCGUGUGAUAGUUCCAGUUAGUUUUUGUUUUUUUUCUUUAAAAGCACAUGGAAGAGCUUGUUGGAGUCAGUUGUGCUGAAGAAAUGCUGCACAAUAUGGAAGCUCCCCUGCGGUGCUAAAGAGGGAGCAGUCUUCACUGUGUCCACUGUUCAAGCCGCACUUAACAGGCCACCUGUCCACUUGAAGACGCACAAAAGACACACUAUAAAAACCUGUUAAAACCAUUCCCACGUUUUCUCCGCCCUCAGUUUGGUGUUAAUACCUGCUUAUUUACGGGGGUCAAGGGCCAAGUGUCUCGUUCAAAGUGUCUCUCAAUGAAGAAUCGGCUGUUUAUUGUCCAAUCAAAUCAACACCCGCCUUAUUUCUCUUCAUCUCAUCUGCCACUCAACAUCUGCUUGUCCUCAGGCUGUGGUUUGAGGUCUUGUCCCCACGAACAAGUCUCCCCCACAUCACGCAUCUCAUGAGCUCAAUGUGUCCUGUUUCUGAGUCGCUUCAAGUGACUUUACCAGUUUUCAGAUAGUGUGUGUGUGUGUGUGUGUGUGUGUGUGUGUGUGUGUCGCCACAGCAGAGUUCUCCAGACUUUUACGGCGUCUUAAGGAGACAUUUUUGAAGCUUAAUAGCACUCGGGAUGCAGGGGUUUCACAUCGGAGAGCAGAACGUCCCACAAAUGUCCUGAGAUUCAAUGGUAAUGGCAUGAUGGGGAAACGGGAUUACAAACAGCCAGGAGAUUAGAGAGAGAGAAAGGAAAUGCACAACAGAAAAUCGGCUCUAUUUUGCUAAUGGAGAUCCAAGAAAGAAAAAGAUGUUCUGGCAGGUGUUUGCUUUUCAUGUGCGGCACCAAUACUUCACAGAGAUCUGAAAGAUUACCCGACCGAACAAACAGAAAUGGCUUUUUCUUAAUAGCACAAUGGCAUAAUGUACUUUCCCAGAAUACCAAUACCUUCGUGGAGGAGUACAGAAGGCAUGCCCGCAAUUUUAAGGAGGCUGCAGCAGAAACGCUCCCUUUCAGCCCAUGUGUCAGCACAAAGCAGGAGUCAGCUACGCCCAGAGAGAAAGUGUGUGUGUAAGUGUGUGUGUGGGGGGGGGGGGGAGCAUCAUUAGCUGCUGUUGCCGGGGAGAAGUGGUCGUGGCCUGGAGUUUUCUGCGUCCCCGUGCAGCAGCGUCCCCCCCCCUUUUCCUUCGCAGGCGCUCAUCCUUCUCCACCUCCCCCAUCCUUCGAGUUAUACCGAGUUACAUACCGAACCACAACUUUCGCUCCAUCCGUUGCAUCGGUUGUUUUCCCUUCCUUUCCCCCGUCCUUCUGAGACUCGGAGCGUACCACCAUCGUUCUCCCUGUCUGCUGUUACUAGGGACAGCAGGUGGGAUGCGGAAUGUCCCAGUAUGUCGUUCACUCACGCUGAAUCAACCUCGGCCCUGCUGGGACUCCCUGACACCCUCUAAUGGGUUGCCCGCUUGUGUCAGUGUCGGGAUCAUCCUGUUUGCUUGCAUGGUGCCAAAAAAGACAAAAAGAAAGUUCAUGCAAUCAUAUGUGUAAAGUGUUGAGAUUAUCAUUUAUCUGAAGUUUUAAAAAACCACAAUGUGCAGUGAAUGUCGCUCAUCUGGUCCCUGAAGUUCGGAAGCCCUGAGAAGCAAGUGAGAGAAAAAAAAACUCGUCCGUGUUUUUGACUGAAGAAGAGGUGGAAAUGACGAUUUACUGGAUUUUCCUCAUAGUUCAUCAUUUGGUCAAGUAAAAAAAAAAAAGUUUAAGCAGGUGUGUGUGUGUGUGAUGUAGUCAUACCUCACCAACAUCCUGGUCCUCUCUGCUUACUCCACUGCUUUUUAAAGAAAAACACCGUCCUCAACUCAUCGGUCCACACAAUCACUGCCGCCAUCCUUAAUUGUGACGUGAUCCAGGAAGUCGUGUAUGUUGCUUCCGCGCGGUCACGGCAGCAAGCUCGCCAGACGUGUCGCAUGUCGUCCUCAGUUCUCGCGAGGCUCCUUGUGAGCGGAGUUGCAGCCACUUGAUUCUGGCAGGAACAGCAGUAGUUCAGAGUGACCCUGGCGAACUGCCUCCUGCUGAGUGUAAAGGAGAACCGUGCCUCAAUUACUCGUCACAGACCAGCACACACACACACAUAUAAUGCAGUGGGAAAAUUGCUCAAACUGCCCCCACGUGAGCGAGGCCCUGUGCUUUUUAAUUGAUGCUUCGGUCCACCUUUGGCGAGAGCCAUCGAUUGGCCACGCAGCCGGAGGAGCGCAGCCAGCGCCGAGUCCAAACUGCUGCCGGAGAAAAUCCAGCAGUCACUAGGAGAUGGAGGAGCAAAUUGUUGCGAGAUGGCCGGCACAGAGAGUGCGUUAGGCACGGGAUUAAUGUAUCAGAUAAAAAGAGGAACUAUUUAUUAGGGCAGCAGAGCGGUUUUUAAUUUGUUUUUCGGUUAUUUUUCUCUUUUUUGUGGUUUUUAGGUUGUUCCUUUUCACUUCUCUUUGUCUCAGCGCCGAGGAGGACAUGGUCACGCCUCGCACACGCUGCUCAGUGUGUGUGAUCUUUGAGAAACUAUCUGUACAUCUGUGGAUGUUAGGAUUUGACUUGGGUUUUAUGAGUUGUUGUUUUUUUCUCUCUCUGAUGAAGCUUUCAAUAAAAAAAUAUGGUAAAAAAAAC